GACGAACGCUGGCGGCGUGCUUAACACAUGCAAGUCGAACGGAAAGGCCCUGCUUUUGUGGGGUGCUCGAGUGGCGAACGGGUGAGUAACACGUGAGUAACCUGCCCUUGACUUUGGGAUAACUUCAGGAAACUGGGGCUAAUACCGGAUAGGAGCUCCUGCUGCAUGGUGGGGGUUGGAAAGUUUCGGCGGUGGGGGAUGGACUCGCGGCUUAUCAGCUGGUUGGUGAGGUAGUGGCUUACCAAGGCUUUGACGGGUAGCCGGCCUGAGAGGGUGACCGGGCACAUUGGGACUGAGAUACGGCGCAGACUCCUACGGGAGGCAGCAGUGGGGAAUAUUGCACAAUGGGCGGAAGCCAGAGGCAGCAACGCCGCGUGCGUGAUGACGGCCUUCGGGUUGUAAACCGCUUUCGCCUGUGACGAAGCGUGAGUGACGGUAAUGGGUAAAGAAGCACCGGCUAACUACGUG
rnacentral:rRNA from 1 species